UUCCGCGUCGUUCAACGGCAGGACGGGGUUCUUAUAAAGCCCUCACGAUGGUUCGACUCCAUCCGCGGGAACCA
rnacentral:tRNA from 1 species